GAUGAACGCUGGCGGCGUGCCUAAUACAUGCAAGUCGAGCGAACGGACGAGAAGCUUGCUUCUCUGAUGUUAGCGGCGGACGGGUGAGUAACACGUGGAUAACCUACCUAUAAGACUGGGAUAACUUCGGGAAACCGGAGCUAGUACCGGAUAAUAUUUUGAACCGCAUGGUUCAAAAGUGAAAGACGGUCUUGCUGUCACUUAUAGAUGGAUCCGCGCUGCAUUAGCUAGUUGGUAAGGUAACGGCUUACCAAGGCAACGAUGCAUAGCCGACCUGAGAGGGUGAUCGGCCAUACUGGAACUGAGACACGGUCCAGACUCCUACGGGAGGCAGCAGUAGGGAAUCUUCCGCAAUGGGCGAAAGCCUGACGGAGCAACGCCGCGUGAGUGAUGAAGGUCUUCGGAUCGUAAAACUCUGUUAUUAGGGAAGAACAUAUGUGUAAGUAACUGUGCACAUCUUGACGGUACCUAAUCAGAAAGCCACGGCUAACUACGUG
rnacentral:rRNA from 1 species